rnacentral:sRNA from 1 species
AGUGUGGUGCCCAGCCAACCAGCUAUACCUCUUUUGAAGAUUUUAAGAACUUAGCCUCCUGAACAGUCUUCUUCGAAAGUGAAAAGUGGUAACAGCUGAUGAGUAUCAAGAAAUUAUUUUCUGCAAAGGGGCAGAGUUAAUUGUAUUUGGAACCCAUGACAGCACCUACUGGGGAAAGACUUUAAGUGAGGAGAAACGGCUCUACAGGUCAUGAAACUAUGGAAAUGAGAUGGUUUUUGUCAAAGAUUCAGGAUGACUUCAGAGGUGGAAAAAUUAACCUAGAAAAAACUCAGAGGUUACUUGAAAAAUUAGAUAUUCGGUGCAGUUAUAUUCAUGUGAAACAGAUUUUUAAGGUAAGAUGACAUCCACCCCCUGCCUAUCCUAUCCUAGGUGGAACUUAAUCCAAUGUCAGUAAUUGUCAUAUAAAGGUUAGUCUCUUAAGAAGAAAAGCAAUUAAUUAUACUAACUAUAUUUACAGUCAAGAUGGAGAGCAUUUCAGUAGAAGGUAAAAUUAGUUGUUGAGAAAAUCUGAAAUAAUACCAGGAUAUCAGUUUAGAAUAAUUUCCUGAGCAUACAGAAAUGCUAACAUUAAACCUAGGAUUGGAUGUCUAAUUACAUCAGACUGAUAAUGGUAACUGUAUUAGAUGUUAGUGAUUUAUAAAAAGAGUGGAGAAUAAGCCCAAAGUUAGCAGAAGGGAGGAAAUAAUACCGAUUAGCACAGAAAUAACUAAAAUAGAAAAGAAAAAAAUCAGAAGAAAUUGAGGAAACUAAGACUUGUUUUUUUGAAAAGUUAAAUAAAAUUGACAAAUA